CAAUGGCAACUGAAGAUGCAACAGAGAGUGCAAGUGACCCGAUCACACCGAGCUGGAAACCAGCUGACAUCUUGACCAACUGGUGUUUCUCUGCUUGUCUGAAUCCAAAUCUGUAAAGAGUAGUCUAAGGCAGUUUGGCACAUAGCAGGGAUCAACGAAGGCACAUGCUAAUAGCCUAACGGACCAGGUUCCAAGAAAAGAGAGAGAGACAGAGAGGUGGCUGCUCUCCUAUGCUAUGAAGAGGAAGAGGAAGAGAGGGAGGGCGACACACUUUUAUGUCCAGAGUUUACAGAGGGGGGAAGGUGCAGAGGCGCGCGUGUAC